rnacentral:rRNA from 1 species
AUUGAACGCUGGCGGCAGGCCUAACACAUGCAAGUCGAACGAGUGGCGGACGGGUGAGUAAUGUCUGGGAAACUGCCUGAUGGAGGGGGAUAACUACUGGAAACGGUAGCUAAUACCGCAUACCAUCGGAUGUGCCCAGAUGGGCUUAGCUAGUAGGUGGGGUAAAGGCUCACCUAGGCGACGAGCCCUAGCUGGUCUGAGAGGAUGACCAGACACCCUGGAACUGAGACACGGUCCAGACUCCGACGGGAGGCAGCAGUGGUGAAUAUUGGACAAUGGACGCAAGCCUGAUGCGGCCAUGCCUCGUGUAUGAAGAAGGCCUUCGGGUUGUAAAGUACUUUCAGCGGGGAGGCGUUACCCGCAGAAGAAGCAACGGCUAACUCCGUGCCAGCAGCCGCGGUAAUAC